rnacentral:rRNA from 1 species
UCGGGAAUUUUGGGCAAUGGGCGAAAGCCUGACCCAGCAACGCCGCGUGAAGGAUGAAGUCUUUCGGUAUGUAAACUUCGUAAGAAUGGGAAGAAUAAAUGACGGUACCAUUUGUAAGGUCCGGCUAACUACGUGCCAGCAGCCGCGGUAAUACGUAGGGACCAAGCGUUGUUCGGAUUUACUGGGCGUAAAGGGAGCGUAGGCGGCAAUUCAAGUCAGUUGUGAAAUCUUAAGGCUUAACCUUAAACGGUCAACUGAUACUGCUUUGCUAGAGUACAGAAGGGGCAAUCGGAAUUCUUGGUGUAGCGGUGAAAUGCGUAGAUAUCAAGAGGAACACCUGAGGUGAAGACGGGUUGCUGGGCUGAUACUGACGCUGAGGCUCGAAAGCUAGGGGAGCAAACGGG